rnacentral:rRNA from 1 species
AACAAACGCUGGCGGCGUGCCUAAUACAUGCAAGUCGAGCGGAAAGGCCCUUCGGGGUACUCGAGCGGCGGACGGCUGGGUAACGCGUAGGAACGUACCCCAAAGUGAGGGAUAACUGCUCGAAAGAGUAGCUAAUACCGCAUGUGAUCUAAGGAUUAAAGCUUCGGCGCUUUGGGAACGGCCUGCGUUAGAUUAGCUAGUUGGUAGGGUAAAGGCCUACCAAGGCUCCGAUCUAUAGCCGGUCUGAGAGGACGAUCGGCCACACUGGGACUGAGACACGGCCCAGACUCCUACGGGAGGCAGCAGUGGGGAAUAUUGGGCAAUGGGCGCAAGCCUGACCCAGCCAUGCCGCGUGAGUGAUGACGGCCUUAGGGUUGUAAAGCUCUUUUAGUGGUGAGGAUGAUGACGGUAACCACAGAAAAAGCCCCGGCUAACUUCGUGCCAGCCGCCGCAGUAAAAC